rnacentral:rRNA from 1 species
GGAUAACGUUUGGAAACGAACGCUAAUACCGCAUGAUAUUAUUGAGCUGCAUGGCUUGAUAAUCAAAGGAGCAAUCCGCUGAAAGAUGGGCUCGCGUCCGAUUAGGUAGUUGGCGGGGCAACGGCCCACCAAGCCGACGAUCGGUAGCCGGACUGAGAGGUUGAACGGCCACAUUGGGACUGAGACACGGCCCAGACUCCUACGGGAGGCAGCAGUGAGGGAUAUUGGUCAAUGGGGGAAACCCUGAACCAGCAACGCCGCGUGAGGGAAGACGGUUUUCGGAUUGUAUACCUCUGUCCUCUGUGAAGAUAAUGACGGUAGCAGAGGAGGAAGCUCCGGCUAACUACGUGCCAGCAGCCGCGGUAAUACGUAGGGAGCAAGCGUUGUCCGGAUUUACUGGGUGUAAAGGGUGCGUAGGCGGCUUUGCAAGUCAGAAGUGAAAUCCAUGGGCUUAACCCAUGAACUGCUUUUGAAACUGCAGAGCUUGAGUGGAGUAGAGGUAGGCGGAAUUCCCGGUGUAGCGGUGAAAUGCGUAGAGAUCGGGAGGAACACCAGUGGCGAAGGCGGCCUGCUGGGCUCUAACUGACGCUGAGGCACGAAAGCGUGGGUAGCAAACAGGAUUAGAUACCCUGGUAGUCCACGCUGUAAACGAUGAUUACUAGGUGUGGGUGGACUGACCCCAUCCGUGCCGGAG